GCUAUUCUUGUUUUGUUUCCUGACAUUUGAAAAUUGGACAAAUUGAACAUCUUCAAAAUAUUACCACUAUAAAAAAGGGUGCACAAUUAAACAGCUAUCGAGAGAGAAAUUGAAGCUAUCACUGCACGUUGGAUUGUGGAAGAAAAAUUGAGCAUCAACAAGAGUAGCAUGCUCUGUGCUAAUGGAAGAGAGGAGAAAGACAAACGAGAUGUAUAAGAAGAGAAAUGAAUCUGAC